rfam:Candidate division NC10 bacterium RBG_16_65_8 RBG_16_scaffold_14741, whole genome shotgun sequence.
GGUCGGGUCUCGCGCAUGGUAGCCCUGUGACCCCCGCCAGGUCCGGAAGGAAGCAACGGUAAACAGCGAGCGGCCGGUGCCGCGAGUUCACCCGAUCGGA